AGUGACAGCAUUUCCUGCCGUACUUGCAGGGCUCUAGUUGUACCUCGUGACAGUGGGACAGGUACAGCUGGAGGACAUAGGGGUUCACCGUCAGCCAGAUGCUCAUCAACAGGGUAAACUUCUGGAACAAGGCUUUCAGCAGAAGGUCUUGCUAAUAUCUAAUCUCAGAUGAAUCCGUAUCCAUUUGAAAUUGAGUGGACAGGCACAACGGCUCAGGGUGGUGGAGUUGCUGGUGAUAGUGUGAGCCAACAUGAAGCCAAGCUCCGAGCUGCUGCUGCUGCUGCAGCAUCGACAUAUGAAAAGUCUCAUGUAUGAAUGCUGCGUACCAGAGGUCCAGAGCCUAACAAACUACGCCCUCUUGUGUAUGUCUCCUGGAGAUGCGGCACUUCCUCAGGUAUAUUGUAAGACAAUAUAUGUGGAUAACAAGGGAUGAGGAAAUUAGUUCAGGGAUGGAUGAAUAACUGGAGUCUCAGUUUUGAGCAUAUCAUUGUAUAAGUUAACUCUCUUCAUCUUUUUCGAAAAGAAAUUUGUCACUUGUAACAUUUACCAAUAACCGAACGCGAAUGGUAGAAUUGUGUAGAACUUGUAAUGCUGCCGCUAUGUACCCUAUCGGCUUCUUCUGUAUUAACUCAAACCCCAUAGAAAGCAGUGAUCUUGAGAGAUUUUCAAUGUGACCAGUACAUGAGUUGGUA